GUAUUGUUUUCCUGCCGCACAGACUCUCUUCUCCACACCGACUCCACCACCUUCGUGCUUCAUCCUCUGUGAGAAGUUUAACAGAAAAAAAGUGGCUAGCAAUGGUGAGCCAUCUUUCUAAUUAUUGGAAGCUUUGUUUUCGUUUCUGCAGGAAUUUGGUGUUAAUACAGAGCAACGAUUUUUUUGUUAUAUGGACCUCCUGGUUGUGGUAAAACUCUAAUUGCCAAGGCUAUAUAACAAAUGGAUUCUUUUUUUUAAUUAGGAACAGGGGCUUAUCAAGAAUUAGUUGAAUGUUGAAGACUUGAGUAAAGUUUUGAAUUCGAAGAGAAGUGUUGGUGGAAUUGAUAUUGAUGAAGCUGAUGUUGCAGUUGUAGUUGAAGCUGGAGUUAGUGUCGGUGGUGACUGAAAUGAAAUAGGAACCUGCAAGUGGAGUUAUGGCUUAGUUCUGGUGUAGUGAGAGUCAGGGAGAGAAUGAAAAUACAGAUGGGUUGAUUCUGGAAGCAGCUAGGUGUCAUUGAAGUUGCAGGAUGGAUUACUGUUGGAGCUGGUGGUACAAAUGGUGCGUGGAACUUGAAAGAUGAUUGCCGUAACACUUUGCUUGCUGUAGUUAUUGAAGAAGCUGAUCUUCCUAUUAUCUGGUGCAGAUUGUAGAAUUUUGCAACCGGAUUGUAAAGGUACUCUGUUAUGGAGACAAUCCGUCCAUCCAUCCUUAGCUGCUAGAAAUUGGAAGCAUUUGAAGGGUGCGUGUGCAAUGUAUGAUUUUUGAUGAAAAGUAGGUUUAAAAUUCAGGUGAUAAAUAAAUGUUGCUUAUGCAAUUGUGCCGAGGAAUCCCUGGAACAUCUUUUGUGGUACUGCGAUUUUUCAGCGAGGACUUGGAGGUGGAAUUUGGACAAUUUUGGUUUGCAAUCUCAUAUAAACCUUUCUACUGCCUAUAAAUCUGCUAGAGGAAGGAGUUGUAUGGUGAAGGAAUUAUGAUUGCUAGCAGUUUUGGUGAUUAGGUCUGAACUAUGGCAGACACGUAAUAGCUUUUUAUAUAUGACAAUAAAAAGGUCUUUUGGAGUUUUUUUUCACGAAACGGGUGUUUUAAUCAGGCGAACGAGUACUCUAGAAGGCUCAAGGGUUAUAUGUAUAAUUCAGUGGAAGACCUACUGAUUUUGGAUUUUUUCAGAGUUAAAGACACAGGCAUGUCAAGGUUCUGGAGGCAGUGGAGUUUCGGUGGUAUCCUCCAUCUGAGAACAUUAAUAUUAAUAAUCUAAAACCAGUGAACAUUUAAUAUUAAUGGUACGCUUCUUUGGUUAUGGGGAAAUGUGUUGGCCUUUAGAGUUUUUUUAGUUGCAUGUGUUGAAUGGUUUUCAGAAUUUAUUCUUCAUAUACUGAAUUUCACGUUGUUUCAA